UAAGUGACAAAUAUUAUACUUUAAUUUGAGGUUUUAUGAUUGAUUUAUAUUUCUAAUUAGAUGCUACUUUUGUUUUUAAUGUUUUAGCUUUCAUUGGGUCUUGGUAGUGAUUGAGCCAAGGAAAAUGAUAGUCCACUAUCUUGACCCUAUGCAUCACAAACCAUGUGAGGACUUAAAGGAUAUCGUAAACAUUGUCCAAGAUAAGAAGGAGGGUUCGAAUGUGGCUACUUUGUUAUGAGAUUCAUAAAAGAGAUAAUUUUUUAUCCUACAAUUAUUGCUUCAAAGUUUGGUGAUAAAAAAACAUAUUCUCAAGUAGAAUUCGAUGAAAUUAGAGGAGAAUGGGCUACUUUUGUGCUACAACUAAUCAUGAAUCAUGUUGAUGCAUCAUGAUCACCAUGCAUGGUAUACACUUUUGGGAUGGUGGAAUGGAGAAUAAAAAGAAAGAAGAAGGCAACAAGAUUUUGGGUUUUUAAAUGCAACUCU